GUUGGUGAACCAGCGGAGGGAUCAUUACCGAGUUUUCAACUCCCAAACCCCUGUGAACAUACCUAUCGUUGCUUCGGCGGACACGCCCCGGCGCCCCCGGGCCCGGACCAAGGCGCCCGCCGGAGGCCAAAAAACCACUGUGUAUUAUGUUUUCCUCUGAGUAACCAAAAAAUAAAUCAAAACCUUUAACAACGGAUCUCUUGGCUCUG
rnacentral:misc_RNA from 1 species